AUCGGGAGCAACGGAUACAGUAGACCACAUUGGAAGAUGUACAGGCUGAAUUUUUAGGCUCUAUGUUUAAAAAGAAACAGAAUUCAAACACAAGACUACAGAAGAGAAUGUGCUUUCCUUUGGAAUUUCCUCUGGCCACGACACUAUGCUGAAGGAGAGAUUGAAUAUGUAUAUGCAUUUAGUGAGAAAAUCUCAAAGAUGCUCACCCCAAUUGCACAUGAUGCAGCAAUGUCUGAAAAAAUAUCUUGGCAAAUCAUGACACUAACAAAUUUUAUUGCGCAGCCUUUGGAUCCCAAUCCGAAUGUGGGAGAGAAGAAUCUCCUGCCUUUACCAACAUCUCUGAGAUGGAGGAGUCAGCACCCUCAGAAGAUAUAACAUGAAAGUGUUUCUCCUUACCUUGGACCAGGCAAAGACAUUCAUUUCACAUGAUUCAAGAGGGAAAGAUUGACUUGACAUAGGGCAGAUACAUCCAUUUCUGAACACACAGCAGUCUUUUCAACCUAUGACAACUACUAGCACACGUUAACACUUCAGAAGGGUUCAACAUGAGCUUCUGUUGGAGGAUGACUGCAAGAAGAUGAGACCAUGGGAGACAGGAGCAGGGGUAGAUCAUAUGACCUGUUGAGGGCAUUUCACUAAUACUUCAAACGACAACUCUCUCUGACUGACAUUGAUCGACACACAUGGAAAUAAGAGACACAGAUGGUACACAACAACCACAAAGCAACCUACAAGUCUGAAACACACAGAUAUGAAUCUGCUGAAGAAAGUACAAAGAAUGGAAGAAGUCUGCUUCUAACAUAGACCCUCCAAGCCAAAUGUUCCUCUGGGCCAAUUGCUCAAGAGUCUCCAGAUUAACAGUUGGCCAAUUCAAUGAUCAUACCAUUCUCACUCCCUGUAAUAACCUUGGAUGGAACACAUCUGAGCAGGUUUUCCUGUCAACUGUAAGAACCAACAGCUUAUCCAAUACCCCAUUCUUGUUAAUUUUGAAUCCUUUUAGUGACUGAACUUUCUCCCCUAUCUCCAUUCCUGAGUAACAUUUGCUUCCUGGUUCAAGGCAGGUGUAAAAUGUUAAUUAAAUAGCUCAGCCUUGCCCCUGCCUCACUGUGUAAAUCUCCUUUUAGGUUUCUAAUUGCCAUUUCUCAUCCUUUAACCAGAUUUUUACAGUCCAUGUACCUAUGGAAGACUUUGGACUUACCCUUUAUGUUAGAUACCUGUCUUUGCUUCUCUCACUUGUUUUUUUCACUUCCUUUCUGAGUUUUCUGUAUUCUGCUUGGUUCUCGAUUGUAUUUUCUGCCUGACACCUAUCAUAAGCAGUUUUUCUUUGUUAUUUUUAAUUUCUAUGUCGUAAUUUUAUCUUAAGGAUCUCUGGGUUUAUUUGGACACUGCAGUCAAUUACAUUGAGCGCUAUUAUUAUUCCCGUUGAGAAGUUUGGGGCAUUGUCAAUCUGAAGACUUUCACUAAGAUGAAACUUCCCAUACAACGGAGAACAACAAUAGUUCUUACCUUGCAAGUUUAAAGUUGUACUUAGACAUGAAGAUUUAAACUAUUUCCUAAAAAAGGCAAUCAUUUUAGAGGAAGGCAGUCAAGAUUUAAAGUAAUGAUAAGAAAAUUGAAACUGUGUGGAAUCAUAAAAUGAUACAGCCUUUCAGCCUCUUAAUCUUUUAGAAAAUAAGACAUAUUUUGAGGAUCUGAGUCUGUCUGCUAUCUGAGUCAGCAAAGGCUAAUAUUUAAUCAGGUGGUUGAUUUAAAGAUGCCACAAUCAGCUUGGAGGUACCUGUCACCAAUCGCAGUGGUUUCCCUGUACCUGGCACAAUGCAAUAUAAUCAUUAAAGGAGGUCAUAAAAAGCAGUAUCCAGGAAAUCCAGGGAAAUUUCUUUAACUCAUUCACAACCGAUUCCUCAGAGUACAAGGUGUGAAAACUGUGCUAAUGUGUUUUUAUCAUAUCAGAAAACUAUUUUUCAGGAAGAAUAAAGUGAAGAACAAAAGAAAUAUCAUCUCAUUGAAAAUGCAUUAAUUUGGAAAACUCUCAGAAUAAGUAAAUGCAGAGAAUUCUUGUAGCUUUUAACUUUCAGUACAGCUCAAGUUGCUCAUUACGUAUAUAAUGUAAAAAGACAUUUCCAUUUGAGGUUCGAAUACAUUUUACAGUAAGUUUGAAAGAUUCCAAUGAAAUCCUGUAUUAGCUGUAUAUGCAAAGAUGCCAUCAAAAAUAUUAGCCAUCGGAUCAUAGGCACUUUACAAAGAUCCAGUCCACUGCAAGCACUAAGGUGUGUGUGAGUGGAGGCAGAAUGCUGAACAAAGAGGUUUAUGUAAAUAAAAACCGAAAGAACUGUGGAUGCUGUAAAUCAGGAACAAAAACAGAAGUUGCUGCAAAAGCUCAGCAGGUCUGGCAGCAUCUGUGGAAGAGAAAAUCAGAGCUAACAUUUCGGGUCCAGUGACCCUUCCACAGCAUGUGCACUUUAUGUUCCUUCUUCACAUGCUACAACCCUGGGAUAGCUCAGGAGGAUUCCUCUGCUCAUCUUGGUACUAUGCUUUAGUCUGUUGGUAAUGUGUCAUUUCUGAAUUACUACCAACAGAUCCUCUUCUGUUUUUCACUCUGCAGUAUUUCUAAAAUUUCUCCAUAAUACAAGUAAAAUAAUCAUUGCUGACUAGACUGUCAAAACUUGCAUUUUACUCAACUUCGAUAAAUUCUAUUCAAACAUACGUAAGGUGGAACGAUAUCAGAAACAACAUUAAGAACAUUAUAGGGUAAAAGGCAAAGAAUAAAAUGAUGUCACUCAUACCUCUUAAGGAACAAUGUAACAGUUAGUCCCAAUUGAUGUCUCUCCCCCGCUAUGAUAACUCCCGCUUUUUGAUCAACUAUCAACGUUGCAGGACAAAGGUCAUUACUCAUUUGUUUAUUCAGGGAACAUCUGCCAACAGAGCUUGCUCACCUACUUCCAAUUGCUUCUACUGUAAAUUACAGGAGUUAUUGUGCACAGGGUAAAGAUAGAAUCGAGAUUGGCGCUCGAGCCCUUCAGGAUGCUCCUAAUUGUGGUGCUUUCAAAACCAGGAGCCAUAAACAUAAACUUGUCAGCAGUAGAUCCAAUAAACAUUAGAAGAAACUUCUGUACUCAGAGCACAUUUGCACAAAUUUGCAAAUUUUUACUACAAGAAGUCUUUGGAUGGAUUAUCAUUUAAAAUGUAAUGCUUUGGAAGCACACAGGAAAGUGGUUGGAAUAUAGUAUCUUAUGAAUUUUUUUAUUUAUUACAGAUUUGAGUUUUCUCAUUGUUAAAACAUUCUUUACCUUCAAAAAAUUACUUCUGGCUAUAUUCUGUUAUCAUUUGUUCUAAAUAGACAAACAUAUCUAUUCAUUCCCAUGUGACACUGUCCACUUCAACCUUCACUCUAGUUUUUUUUCUUAUGAAUUCCUUCUAACGACUAUUAUUGUUAUCUUUUUGGUGUUCACACUGUUAUGACCAAGACAGGAAGUAUGAAUUGCAUCUCUCUACUGGUCAAAUCAUAAGAUUAAACGUAUAACAAGUUACCAAUAUGGCCAAUAUAUAUUUUCUUCUAUAUCAGGUUUCUUUAAUAUACAACAAUGUUACU